ACAAUUCUUAAAUGAUAAUCUAGUUUUUCUAUUAUUUUACUGUCUGGGAAAGGAACUGUUGUCAAUCACCAAAUGUAUACGCAAAGAAUUCUAAGUUCCAUUAUCCAAAUAAGAUUGUGAUAUUGUGCUGAGUUUGAUAAUCUACUGUUUCAUUGGACAAACCAAUAUUGAAUUCAUGUAAACUUAAACUGUGAAAUAUACAUCUACAAAAAGAAAGAGCAUUUAAAAAGCCGUCACUAAAGAAAAAUCAUUUAAAGACUCUCAACUUGAGGGAUUCAUAAUGACAUAAACUAAAGAAGAAAGCAAUGACAAAUUCAGAUUUGCAAGCUCGUUGACUACAUUAGCUAGAUAAGAAUCAAAGGAGACAUCUAACAAUUUCUAAUAGAAGAAAGGAAUCUGAAAUGUGGCAUUGAGAUUUAGGUGAUGACAGGGAGUGGAUGUUGACCCACCAACAAAAUUAAGGAUAAUACCAAACAAACCCAAUUAAAUAACACUUGAUUGAGAUGUUUAUAAUAAUUGACAUUUUCUUAACAUUUAUUU
rnacentral:lncRNA from 1 species